AUAGCCAGACCAAAAGAGGGUUCAGCAAGAACUGGAGACAGGAGUAGGAUUUGGGUAGGGCCAGCAUCAGCAGCUUCGUACAAAUCCAGCAUUUAUAUUUGUUAAAAGAAAGAACGAUCUUGCAUUUAUAUGUUAUCUUUCACAACCUCAGAAUGUCUCAAAAUGCUCUAUAGCCAAGCUUUACUUUUGAAGUGUAAUCACCAUUGUAAUAUCAGUAUCACGGCAGCCAACUUUUUCACAGAAAGAUCCAACUAGCAGUAACGUGAUAAUUACCAGGUUAUUUUUGAGUGAUUUUGGAUGCGAAGCAAACAAUGGCUAGGAUACCAUGGAGAACUCCCCCUUCUUCAAACUGGUGUCAGGCACCUUUAACAAGCACCUGCGAGGGCAAGAGGGGCCUAGGUUUAACCUCUCAUCCAAAUGAGGCGUGUUUUGAUUAGAACAUUUGUACAGCUUAUUGCAGCCAUCCUGAAAGCUCAGAAAGUCUCUGGGGGUGAAACUGGCAUUUGCCUAUAGGGUGAAAUGGCAUCAUAGUGAACGGACACCAUAUUUUGUACCGCACUAUAAUUAUUUUGAGUUAAGACCAAUUAGAAGGAAAAUUCUUAUGUUGUAAAAUGAACUGACAAUUCACUACGAGCCUGUUUCACACUACUGGUGAGGACUAAAUCCACUUCCUCUACGCAUCAGCCAUAUGGAUUCCUAGUCUGUGCUUAGUUAACUGAUCUGAAAUGGAGCAGUAGCAGGAUGACACAAUUGGCUCCAUCAUCCCAGUUUGGGAAGACCUAAUCAGCUUAGGUUCUCACAGCCUCUACAGGUUUUGGACAGGAUAAACGAUGUCCUCUCACAGUCCAUUAACCUCUCUAGUCUCUUUGUCAUGACUUGCACUCAAGCAACAAGCAGUCGUGUGGAGACACCAGAAAAGACCAGGUGCCCAAGAACCUGCAGCCCAGUGAGCCAAAGAAAUUGGAAAGUAAGAAAUAAUUUAGAAACACAUUGGUAAAACAAAAAUACGGGCCUUUGCUGUAAGUGGUAUUAUUAUAUCAAAGCACAGGAACUGGCAAUACACUUCAAACCUUCUCAUUGAGGAAACCAAAUUGUUUCAAAAUUGACCAUGAAAAAUUUUCAAGAGUUAGUUUUAGCUACAGUAUCUCCAGCAAUUCAGCACUAUAGAAAGAACUGUGACAAACAACACUGAACUAGCAACACUAGUGUCAUUUAUAUUAUCUUUUCUUCCGCCUCCUCCUCUCCUUGGGUUGCUGUGUUUGCUACAGCAGUAUCCACACUUCAGAAGUACUUCAUUGGCUGUAGAGUGCUUUGGGAAUUCUGCAGGUCACGAAAGGCUCUAUAUAAAUGCAAGUCUUUUACUAUUGUCUAUUGUACUUCCUCUAGCCAGGCGAGAUGCAGGUUUCUAUCUGAGCACUGUGAACAUUGCUCUGUGGCUGGUUGGCAGAAGCUAUAAUCAGGAGAAGGGCAAGAUGUAUAUUUUGAGAUGCACUGCCUCCAAUCAGUCAUGCAACAGGAACCUUGGCCUCUGAAGGAGUUGUCACAUUCAGCUGAUGGAAGCCUUUCUUUCCAUUAAGAUUUGUGCAAAGUGCCAGAAAGUGAGGUUAUCUAAACACCAUUACAUUCAUUUGCACAGAGCAUGUAUAUAUGAAUAUCAGUCCCUCGGAGGAAUAUGAUCAAGUUGAUUCUAUUCUCUUCCAAGCUUCCCUACAACAGUGUUGUUCCAAUAGGAUUUUGACACUCACCAAACCUGUGGUGAUCAGGUCACCGUACUCGCCACGUGAUUCAAAAUAUAUGCAAAGCAUGGGCUGAAUCUUGUAACAAUCUUCCAGAGAUGAACUGGGAUUGAGGGACAGGACUAAAGAAAUUUCUACUUACUAUUGACACAGCCAUGGAUUUUGUCAGACAGAGGCUGGAACCCCAUCCUCAGUGGAAUGGGCUGCUGCAGGAUCCCAAUGUCCAUUUGAUUUAAAUCUCUCACCUGAUGAAAAGCAUCAUUUGGCCACAUGGCAAGUGGCAAGCACCUUGGGCCACACUGCUGUACAAGAGACGCAAGUUCAUGCAAGACUUGCAUUUAUACUUCAAAAUAAAAAGACAAGAAACUAAAACAAUGGAAA